rnacentral:misc_RNA from 1 species
UACGGAGGGUGCAAGCGUUACCCGGAAUUAUUGGGCGUAAAGCGUCCGCAGGCGGUUUAUUAAGUUGGAUAUUAAAUCUCGUAGCCCAACUACGAGGCUGUGUCCAAAACUGGUAGACUAGAGACUUUCAGAGGUGCGUGGAAUUCUGUGUGUAGGGGUAAAAUCCGUAGAUACACAGAGGAACACCAAAAGCGAAGGCAGCGCACUGGGAAAGUUCUGACGCUCAUGGACGAAAGCGUGGGUAGCGAACGGG